rnacentral:rRNA from 1 species
GAUGAACGCUGGCGGCGUGCCUAAUACAUGCAAGUCGAGCGAACAGACGAGGAGCUUGCUCCUCUGAUGUUAGCGGCGGACGGGUGAGUAACACGUGGAUAACCUACCUAUAAGACUGGGAUAACUUCGGGAAACCGGAGCUAAUACCGGAUAACAUGUUGAACCGCAUGGUUCAACAGUGAAAGACGGUUUUGCUGUCACUUAUAGAUGGAUCCGCGCCGCAUUAGCUAGUUGGUAAGGUAACGGCUUACCAAGGCAACGAUGCGUAGCCGACCUGAGAGGGUGAUCGGCCACACUGGAACUGAGACACGGUCCAGACUCCUACGGGAGGCAGCAGUAGGGAAUCUUCCGCAAAGGGCGAAAGCCUGACGGAGCAACGCCGCGUGAGUGAAGAAGGUCUUCGGAUCGUAAAAAUCUGUUAUUAGGGAAGAACAAAUGUGUAAGUAACUAUGCACGUCUUGACGGUACCUAAUCAGAAAGCCACGGCUAACUACGUG